rnacentral:lncRNA from 10 species
UCAAACUAAAAUUUUAUUUUCAGAAAAACAAAGCUAAUAAGGGAUCUAAUUAAAAAAGAAAUCGACCCUAAUAUAGUGGGGAAUUUGGGGCAAAAAAUCGGAUAAGAAGCAGCUCUUCUGUUUAGAUUGAAAAUUGAAGAGGAUGUCAUGAAGGUCUCAAGUCAAUGAAAGAAGCUGAAACAGAUGGAAAGCAAGGAGGCAGCAUGACAGGCACAGAAGCAAGGGAUCGGAACAUUCUGGAUGCAGAACACCAUAGAAGAGUAUGAAGCAGAGGAGUGAAAUCUCCAGGUGGGAAUGGGAGAGGCCACUCUGGCUGCGGCACCAAGAGGCCAGAAGACCCUCAAGAGGCUGAUGGAGGCCAGCAGGGCCACACUCUGGCUGUCAUGAGUCUGAGACACUAUUGUCUUUGCGGGUCUCUUCCUCUAAGAAAAAAUAUUAAAAAUACUACCUCUCACCCAUUGGGAUGGCCACUAUCAACCAAAUCAAACCAAAAAACAGAAGUGAACAGUGCUGAUGAAGAUGUGGAGAAGUUGGAACCUUUGCCUACCAUUGGUAGGAAUGUAAAAUGGUGUAGCUGAUGGGGAAAACAAUAUGGUGUUUUCUCAAAAAAUUAAAAAUAGAAUUCUCAUAUGAUCCCCAGCAAUUCCACUUCUGGGUAUAUACUCAAAAGAAUUGCAAGUAGGGACUCACGGAUAUUUAUAUGCCCAUGUUCACAGCGGCAUUAUUGACAAUAAUCAAAAGAUGGAAGCAACCCAAGUGUCCACCUAUAGACGACUGGAAAGCAAAUGUGGUCCAUCCAUACAAUGGGAUAUUAUCCAGCCUUAAAGAGGAAGAUGAUUCUGACACGUACUGCAACAUGCAUGGACCUGGAGUUCAUUAUGCCGAGUGAAAUAAGCCAGGCACAAAAAGACAAAUACUACCAGGGCCAGGAGUUCAAGACCAGCCUGAGCAACACAACGAGAUCCCUCUCUCUACAAAAAAUUUAAAAAUUAGCUAGGUAUAGGGGUGCAUGCCUAUAGUCUCAGCUUCUUGGGAGGCUAAGGCAGGAGGAUUGAUUGAGCCCAAGAGUUCAAAGCUGCAGUGAGCUAUGAUCAUGCCACUGCACACCAGCCUUGGUGACAGAUUGAGACCCUGUCUUUUUAAAAUAAACAAACAAAAAAUAUUGUAUGAUUCCACUUAUAUAAAGUACCAAUAGUAGUCAAAUUCAUAGAGACAGAGAAGAGAAUGGUAGUUGCCAGGGACUGUGGGAGAGGAGAAUGGAGAAUUGUAUAACGGGUACAGAGCUUCAGUUUGGCAAGUGAAAAGAGUUCUGGAGAUAGG